rnacentral:rRNA from 1 species
AUUGAACGCUGGCGGCAUGCCUUACACAUGCAAGUCGAACGGCAGCGGGGGAGAAGCUUGCUUUUCCUGCCGGCGAGUGGCGAACGGGUGAGUAAUACAUCGGAACGUGCCCUGUAGUGGGGGAUAACUAGUCGAAAGAUUAGCUAAUACCGCAUACGACCUGAGGGUGAAAGUGGGGGACCGCAAGGCCUCAUGCUAUAGGAGCGGCCGAUGUCUGAUUAGCUAGUUGGUGGGGUAAAGGCCUACCAAGGCGACGAUCAGUAGCUGGUCUGAGAGGACGAUCAGCCAACCUGGGACUGAGACACGGCCCAGACUCCUACGGGAGGCAGCAGUGGGGAAUUUUGGACAAGGGGCGAAAGCCUGAUCCAGCAAUGCCGCGUGUGUGAAGAAGGCCUUCGGGUUGUAAAGCACUUUUGUCCGGAAAGAAAUGGCUCUGGUUAAUACCUGGGGUCGAUGACGGUACCGGAAGAAUAAGGACCGGCUAACUACGUGCCAGCAGCCGCAGUAA